rnacentral:rRNA from 1 species
AAUGAACGUUGGCGGCGUGGAUUAGGCAUGCAAGUCGUGCGCGAACUGUAGCAAUACAGGGAAAGCGGCGUAAGGGAGAGUAAUACGUAGGUAUCUACCCAUGGGUCUGGGAUAGCGGCGGGAAACUGCCGGUAAUACCAGAUAACGUCUCCGGACCAAAGGUGUGAUUCCACCUGUGGAGGAGCCUACGGCCUAUUAGCUAGUUGGCAGGGUAACGGCCUACCAAGGCUUGGAUGGGUACGGGGUGUGAGAGCAUGCCCCCGCUCACUGGGACUGAGACACUGCCCAGACACCUACGGGUGGCUGCAGUCGAGAAUCUUCGGCAAUGGGCGAAAGCCUGACCGAGCAAUGCCGCGUGCGGGAUGAAGGCCU